rnacentral:rRNA from 1 species
UACGUAGGUGGCAAGCGUUGUCCGGAAUUACUGGGCGUAAAGCGAGUGUAGGCGGUCUGUAAAGUCAGGUGUGAAAAGCCCCCGGGCUCAACCCGGGAAGUGCACUUGAAACUCACAGGCUAGAGUAUCGGAGAGGUUGGUGGAAUUCUCGGUGUAGAGGUGAAAUUCGUAGAUAUCGAGAGGGACACCGGUGGCGAAGGCGGCCAACUGGACGAAUACUGACGCUGAGACUCGAAAGCGUGGGGAGCAAACAGG